CUUAAUCUGUUGUCUAGUACAUUUUCUCUGCUCCCUCAAUGUGUUCAGUGGAAUAAGGGUCUCAGCACUUUGAAAACCAUAGCAUAAAGUAGCAUCAAAAUAGUUGUAUGUGUAUAAGGUGUUUAUCUGCUCUUCUCUUUGUUUUAGAUGCACAUAUCAAUCUGUAAUUCUGCCUCGAAGCCAGUAUUGCAGGAAUGCACAACAUGUUGCAGAAGACUCUUUCACUGCCCUCUGUGCCCCACUUUCAGCCCUACUGUCAGGGCGAAGAUUGAGGAACAUAUAAAUGGGCACAUUAAGAAUGCUUUGCCUUUCAAAGACAAACUUGUAUGCCGGUGCAGGCUGACAUGUAGGGCGAAAGGACACUUUCACUGCCCUGUCUGUAAUAGGACAAUCAUACGGCGUGGGGACAUGGCAAGGCAUUUAUUGUUAUGUCAGCAUUCUUCAAUGCCAAGUCAGCCACCACUGUCAGGACUGCUCCCCGCUGUACUCUCCGAGGAGUUUCGUCUCCCUCCGGCUGCACUGUCCAAGGAGCCCCGUCUCCCUCCGGCUGCACUCACCGAGGAGCCCCGUCUCCCUCCGGCUGCACUCUCCGAGGAGCCCCGUCUCCCUCCGGCUGCACUCUCCGAGGAGCCCCGUCUCCCUCCGGCUGCACUCUCCGAGGAGCCCCGUCUCCCUCCGGCUGCACUCUCCGAGGAGCCCCGUCUCCCUCCGGCUGCACUCUCCGAGGAGCCCCGUCUCCCUCCGGCUGCACUCUCCGAGGAGCCCCGUCUCCCUCCGGCUGCACUCUCCGAGGAGCCCCGUCUCCCUCCGGCUGCACUCACCGAGGAGCCCCGUCUCCUUCCCGAUGUCCUCUGUCCAGUGUCUAAACAGUCCUCUGAAUUUUUGGUAGACCAUUCAUAUGCUAUACCCUCUGUCCUGAAUGAAACUGUGGCUUAUGGGAAGCCAAUAAAAAUUAAAUGUCCUCACUGUGGCCUUAGUCUAUGGUUUAGACACAUUAACAAUAUAAAAAUGUUCUGUUAAGCUAUGGCAAGCUUUUUGCACACUGGAGAGAGGACACAAAGCUGUGCUUCAAGGACAACAUGUGCCCAUUUUCAGACUGAAAAAAGUUACCGGAAGUCAGUCAGGUCAGUAUUCACUUUAAACACUAGUGUAAUUAAAUGGCAAAAUGACUUUUGACUCACUGUUAAAAUAAUUGUUCUGCAUCUCCAUUUGCUUGACACAGGAGCCAGCAGUUGUUCAAGAUCUGCAUACUGCUGUGCACUGGGUGUUCCAAAAGAAGGCGCUUUUCCAUGGACAUGUAACCACGCCAAAAUAUCUGUCCUUAAAUAAAGAGGGCCAGCGGAGGGUCUUAAGAGACA
rnacentral:lncRNA from 1 species